rnacentral:rRNA from 1 species
UACGAAGGGGGCGAGCGUUGUUCGGAAUUACUGGGCGUAAAGGGCGCGCAGGCGGCUCUGCAAGUCAGAUGUGAAAGCCCCGGGCUUAACCUGGGAACUGCAUUUGAUACUCUAGAGCUUGAGUACGGGAGAGGAGAGUGGAAUUCCCAGUGUAGAGGUGAAAUUCGUAGAUAUUGGGAAGAACACCGGUGGCGAAGGCGGCUCUCUGGACCGUAACUGACGCUGAGGCGCGAAAGCGUGGGGAGCAAACAGG